rnacentral:rRNA from 1 species
ACACAUGCAAGUCGAACGCACCUUCGGGUGAGUGGCGCACGGGUGAGUAACACGUGGGAAUGUAUCCUUUGGUUCGGAAUAACGUCUGGAAACGGACGCUAAUACCGGAUGAGCCCUGCGGGGGAAAGAUUUAUCGCCAAAGGAGCAGCCCGCGUCUGAUUAGGUAGUUGGUAGGGUAAUGGCCUACCAAGCCGACGAUCAGUAGCUGGUCUGAGAGGAUGAUCAGCCACACUGGGACUGAGACACGGCCCAGACUCCUACGGGAGGCAGCAGUGGGGAAUAUUGGACAAUGGGCGCAAGCCUGAUCCAGCCAUGCCGCGUGAGUGAUGAAGGCCUUCGGGUUGUAAAGCUCUUUCGCACGCGACGAUGAUGACGGUAGCGUGAGAAGAAGCCCCGGCUAACUUCGUGCCAGCAGCCGCGGUAAUACGAAGGGGGCUAGCGUUGUUCGGAAUUACUGGGCGUAAAGGGCGCGUAGGCGGUUUUUCAAGUCAGGCGUGAAAGCCCCGGGCUUAACCUGGGAACUGCGCUUGAGACUGUGAGACUAGAGUACCGGAGAGGUAGGUGGAAUUCCCAGUGUAGAGGUGAA